CAGCUAACUCUGUGCCACAGCCGCGGUAAUACAGAGGGUGCAAGCGUUAAUCGGAUUUCUGGGCGUAAAGCGCGCGUAGGCGGCUAAUUAAGUCAAAUGUGAAAUCCCCGAGCUUAACUUGGGAAUUGCAUUCGAUACUGGUUAGCUAGAGUGUGGGAGAGGAUGGUAGAAUUCCAGGUGUAGCGGUGAAAUGCGUAGAGAUCUGGAGGAAUACCGAUGGCGAAGGCAGCCAUCUGGCCUAACACUGACGCUGAGGUGCGAAAGCAUGGGAAGCAAACAGGAUUAGAUACCCUGGUAGUCCAUGCCGUAAACGAUGUCUACUAGCCGUUGGGGCCUUUGAGGCUUUAGUGGCGCAGCUAACGCGAUAAGUAGACCGCCUGGGGAGUACGGUCGCAAGACUAAAACUCAAAUGAAUUGACGGGGGCCCGCACAAGCGGUGGAGCAUGUGGUUUAAUUCGAUGCAACGCGAAGAACCUUACCUGGUCU
rnacentral:rRNA from 1 species